CAGGAGACAGGGUGUAGCGCAUCUGCUUUGGGAGCAGAGGGUCGCAGGUUCAAAUCCUGCUGCCCUGACCA
rnacentral:tRNA from 1 species